rnacentral:rRNA from 1 species
GGUUAAGCGACUAAGCGUACACGGUGGAUGCCCUGGCAGUCAGAGGCGAUGAAGGRCGUGCUAAUCUGCGAUAAGCGCCGGUAAGGUGAUAUGAACCGUUAUAACCGGCGAUUUCCGAAUGGGGAAACCCAGUGUGACUCGUCACACUAUCAUUAACUGAAUCCAUAGGUUAAUGAGGCGAACCGGGGGAACUGAAACAUCUAAGUACCCCGAGGAAAAGAAAUCAACCGAGAUUCCCCCAGUAGCGGCGAGCGAACGGGGAGGAGCCCAGAGCCUGAAUCAGCAUGUGUGUUAGUGGAAGCGUCUGGAAAGGCGCGCGAUACAGGGUGACAGCCCCGUACACAAAAGC